ACUAAGCGUACACGGUGGAUGCCCUGGCAGUCAGAGGCGAUGAAGGACGUGCUAAUCUGCGAUAAGCGUCGGUAAGGUGAUAUGAACCGUUAUAACCGGCGAUUUCCGAAUGGGGAAACCCAGUGUGAUUCGUCACACUAUCAUUAACUGAAUCCAUAGGUUAAUGAGGCGAACCGGGGGAACUGAAACAUCUAAGUACCCCGAGGAAAAGAAAUCAACCGAGAUUCCCCCAGUAGCGGCGAGCGAACGGGGAGCAGCCCAGAGCCUGAAUCAGUGUGUGUGUUAGUGGAAGCGUCUGGAAAGGCGCGCGAUACAGGGUGACAGCCCCGUACACAAAAAUGCACAUACUGUGAGCUCGAUGAGUAGGGCGGGACACGUGGUAUCCUGUCUGAAUAUGGGGGGACCAUCCUCCAAGGCUAAAUACUCCUGACUGACCGAUAGUGAACCAGUACCGUGAGGGAAAGGCGAAAAGAACCCCGGCGAGGGGAGUGAAAAAGAACCUGAAACCGUGUACGUACAAGCAGUGGGAGCACAGAGCAAUCUGUGUGACUGCGUACCUUUUGUAUAAUGGGUCAGCGACUUAUAUUCUAUAGCAAGGUUAACCGAAUAGGGGAGCCGAAGGGAAACCGAGUCUUAACUGGGCGUUAAGUUGCAGGGUAUAGACCCGAAACCCGGUGAUCUAGCCAUGGGCAGGUUGAAGGUUGGGUAACACUAACUGGAGGACCGAACCGACUAAUGUUGAAAAAUUAGCGGAUGACUUGUGGCUGGGGGUGAAAGGCCAAUCAAACCGGGAGAUAGCUGGUUCUCCCCGAAAGCUAUUUAGGUAGCGCCUCGUGAAUUCAUCUCCGGGGGUAGAGCACUGUUUCGGCAAGGGGGUCAUCCCGACUUACCAACCCGAUGCAAACUGCGAAUACCGGAGAAUGUUAUCACGGGAGACACACGGCGGGUGCUAACGUCCGUCGUGAAGAGGGAAACAACCCAGACCGCCAGCUAAGGUCCCAAAGUCAUGGUUAAGUGGGAAACGAUGUGGGAAGGCCCAGACAGCCAGGAUGUUGGCUUAGAAGCAGCCAUCAUUUAAAGAAAGCGUAAUAGCUCACUGGUCGAGUCGGCCUGCGCGGAAGAUGUAACGGGGCUAAACCAUGCACCGAAGCUGCGGCAGCGACGCUUAUGCGUUGUUGGGUAGGGGAGCGUUCUGUAAGCCUGUGAAGGUGUACUGUGAGGUAUGCUGGAGGUAUCAGAAGUGCGAAUGCUGACAUAAGUAACGAUAAAGCGGGUGAAAAGCCCGCUCGCCGGAAGACCAAGGGUUCCUGUCCAACGUUAAUCGGGGCAGGGUGAGUCGACCCCUAAGGCGAGGCCGAAAGGCGUAGUCGAUGGGAAACAGGUUAAUAUUCCUGUACUUGGUGUUACUGCGAAGGGGGGACGGAGAAGGCUAUGUUGGCCGGGCGACGGUUGUCCCGGUUUAAGCGUGUAGGCUGGUUUUCCAGGCAAAUCCGGAAAAUCAAGGCUGAGGCGUGAUGACGAGGCACUACGGUGCUGAAGCAACAAAUGCCCUGCUUCCAGGAAAAGCCUCUAAGCAUCAGGUAACAUCAAAUCGUACCCCAAACCGACACAGGUGGUCAGGUAGAGAAUACCAAGGCGCUUGAGAGAACUCGGGUGAAGGAACUAGGCAAAAUGGUGCCGUAACUUCGGGAGAAGGCACGCUGAUAUGUAGGUGAAGUCCCUCGCGGAUGGAGCUGAAAUCAGUCGAAGAUACCAGCUGGCUGCAACUGUUUAUUAAAAACACAGCACUGUGCAAACACGAAAGUGGACGUAUACGGUGUGACGCCUGCCCGGUGCCGGAAGGUUAAUUGAUGGGGUCAGCGCAAGCGAAGCUCUUGAUCGAAGCCCCGGUAAACGGCGGCCGUAACUAUAACGGUCCUAAGGUAGCGAAAUUCCUUGUCGGGUAAGUUCCGACCUGCACGAAUGGCGUAAUGAUGGCCAGGCUGUCUCCACCCGAGACUCAGUGAAAUUGAACUCGCUGUGAAGAUGCAGUGUACCCGCGGCAAGACGGAAAGACCCCGUGAACCUUUACUAUAGCUUGACACUGAACAUUGAGCCUUGAUGUGUAGGAUAGGUGGGAGGCUUUGAAGUGUGGACGCCAGUCUGCAUGGAGCCGACCUUGAAAUACCACCCUUUAAUGUUUGAUGUUCUAACGUGGACCCGUGAUCCGGGUUGCGGACAGUGUCUGGUGGGUAGUUUGACUGGGGCGGUCUCCUCCUAAAGAGUAACGGAGGAGCACGAAGGUUGGCUAAUCCUGGUCGGACAUCAGGAGGUUAGUGCAAUGGCAUAAGCCAGCUUGACUGCGAGCGUGACGGCGCGAGCAGGUGCGAAAGCAGGUCAUAGUGAUCCGGUGGUUCUGAAUGGAAGGGCCAUCGCUCAACGGAUAAAAGGUACUCCGGGGAUAACAGGCUGAUACCGCCCAAGAGUUCAUAUCGACGGCGGUGUUUGGCACCUCGAUGUCGGCUCAUCACAUCCUGGGGCUGAAGUAGGUCCCAAGGGUAUGGCUGUUCGCCAUUUAAAGUGGUACGCGAGCUGGGUUUAGAACGUCGUGAGACAGUUCGGUCCCUAUCUGCCGUGGGCGCUGGAGAAUUGAGGGGGGCUGCUCCUAGUACGAGAGGACCGGAGUGGACGCAUCACUGGUGUUCGGGUUGUCAUGCCAAUGGCACUGCCCGGUAGCUAAAUGCGGAAGAGAUAAGUGCUGAAAGCAUCUAAGCACGAAACUUGCCCCGAGAUGAGUUCUCCCUGACUCCUUGAGAGUCCUGAAGGAACGUUGAAGACGACGACGUUGAUAGGCCGGGUGUGUAAGCGCAGCGAUGCGUUGAGCUAACCGGUACUAAUGAACCGUGAGGCUUAACC
rnacentral:rRNA from 1 species